CCUGGUAGCUCAGUUGGGAAAGCAUCUGCCUGCAAUGCAGGAGACCCCAGUUCAAAUCUGCGAUCAGGA
rnacentral:tRNA from 1 species